rnacentral:rRNA from 1 species
AUUGAACGCUGGCGGCAGGCCUAACACAUGCGAGUCGAGCGGAUGAAGGGAGCUUGCUCCUGGAUUCAGCGGCGGACGGGUGAGUAAUGCCUAGGAAUCUGCCUGGUAGUGGGGGAUAACGUCCGGAAACGGGCGCUAAUACCGCAUACGUCCUGAGGGAGAAAGUGGGGGAUCUUCGGACCUCACGCUAUCAGAUGAGCCUAGGUCGGAUUAGCUAGUUGGUGGGGUAAAGGCCUACCAAGGCGACGAUCCGUAACUGGUCUGAGAGGAUGAUCAGUCACCCUUGAACUGGGACACGGUCCAGGCUCCUACGGGAGGCAGCAGUGGGGAAUUUUUGACAAUGGGCGGAAGCCUGAUCCAGGCAUGGCGCGUGGGGGAAGAAAGUCCUCGGAUUGUAAAGCACUUUAAGUUGGGAGGAAGGGCAGUAAGUUAAUACCUUGCUGUUUUGACGUUACCAACAGAAUAAGCACCGGCUAACUUCGUG